rnacentral:rRNA from 1 species
UUGCCAGACUCCUACGGGAGGCAGCAGUGAGGAAUAUUGGUCAAUGGCCGAGAGGCUGAACCAGCCAAGUCGCGUGAGGGAUGACGGCCCUACGGGUUGUAAACCUCUUUUGCCGGGGAGCAAAGAGCGGGACGCGUCCCGCCUCGAGAGUACCCGGAGAAAAAGCAUCGGCUAACUCCGUGCCAGCAGCCGCGGUAAUACGGAGGAUGUGAGCGUUAUCCGGAUUUAUUGGGUUUAAAGGGUGCGCAGGCGGAUUUUUAAGUCAGCGGUAAAAUCGGGGGGCCCAACCCCAUCCAGCCGUUGAAACUGGGGAUCUAGAGUGUGCGAGAGGUAUGCGGAAUGCGUGGUGUAGCGGUGAAAUGCAUAGAUAUCACGCAGAACCCCGAUUGCGAAGGCAGCAUACCGGUGCACAACUGACGCUCAGGCACGAAAGCGUGGGUAUCGAACAGGAUUAGAUACCCUAGUAGC